CUUAACGUGAACGUCACUGAAACUGAAGGUUCCCUAACAAUUUGAGUAGACGCUUGCCAGAUCCAUAGGUGUGGGGAUGUACAGAGCUAAAGGGAAUUGAGUUAUGAAAACAAACAUGUGUCCAAGGGGACCGAGUCUAAGGAUGAUUUAAAUAAGUGCAUAGUUUUUGUUGCUGUCUCUCAUUGCCCCUCCUGAUACAGUGUUAUCUGGACCACAGAGUUUGGGGGAUGGACAGUGAGCAAUGAAUGGUUAUAGAAUGAAAAAGAAAACUUACCCUAUCUAAAGGGCAAUCUCUCCCGGGAUGUGAGUCUCUGCAGUGCAACCCUUUGCUAAUUACGCUACAGGGAGCAGAUGAUUCAGUAAGUGAGGUUUAUGGAUCACGAAUAGACAUUAGUAGAAAAGAUGCCCUCGCCUCAGCCCCACCUGGCCCGGCACCAGACGCCCAAAGCCCUUGGCCUUUCCUCCUUGCCGCUCACCAGCCUGCGCUGCCUGCCGCCCGCUUGGCCCUCUUGCUCUUGCUUCCCCGGCCCCCGGCAGACACACAGCCAGGGACACCCAGGCAGCACAGCAGGAGGGGAGCCCUUUGGCCUGCUGCCCUCCUGCCCACCCCCAAGCCCACCCCAAAUCAUGCAUGCGCCCAGAAACCCUGACCUGCACCACAAAGGCAGCAGCACCAGCAGCAAGGAACACCAGGCCUGUGGGCGCAGCUGGCCUACAGCAGGGGACGGCCCUUUGGCCACUUCCCGGAUGCUCUCCUGCUCUCCACCCUCCCAACCUCUUGCACACCCCCAGCCUCGGCGCUGCAGGAAAAAGAGACAACCUCACGGCUCCGGGAGGCCCGCACUCGCAGCAACAGCCACACCACAGCUGCAGUAAGCAACACCGCUUUAGCCACCCCUGCCAAACACGGUGCUAGGCCAGCUGCCACUAACAAGAGUCAACUCCGUCCCAGCCAGAGCAAGUCCGCAGAGGCAGUGGCACCUAGCCCACCCUGGGCAGAAGGCAAGAUGCAGGAUGCCGAAAAACCAAGAGAAUCAAGCCCUGUUCACUUGUCCUCACCACUAGCAGGACCCUGGCUGUGACUCCAGAUGAUUUGUGCGCUUACCGUCUGUCACCCUCCUCAAGUGACCAGUGUGGCCAAGUCUCUGUACGGAUCCCUGGGGGACUGUGCCCUGGAAGGAGUCCAGUCCAGCAGCACCAACGGGCACGUUCAAACGCAGCUUGCGACAAGGCCCUUCCUCUGCUUAGGAGCGCCGUCCUCCGGGCUUGCCUCUGCAGAUGUCUUUUGCUCAACAGUGCCCAUCCUUGGCAGAACCUUUGGCUUCUGCUUCUCACCUAGGCGUCGAAAGAGAAGCUUUGAAUCUUAGAGAGCGAGACUAGAGAAGCUCUUCAGGAUACCUACAAUGUGACCACGUGCUGGCAGGAGUGGUUCAUCGAGGCUCUGCUCAUCUCAGUGACCCAUUCAUAUUACAGGACAAAGCCCCUUUCUCGCUGACAGAAUGGAGAACGUGCUGAUGAAGCAAAGGGGAGAAAUGGAUGGGCUACAAAG